AACAAUAAUUGAGAGGGGAAUAGAAUCUAACCACCUAGAACGAUCUCCGAAUCUAGAGCAUUCCAAUUCCCAAAGGAUGGAACUGUAAUGAAAAUUAAAGUAACCCAAGUAAGGGUGUCCUCUCUCCUGCUUGUGAUUUCAUAUCACAAAAGCAAGUUCCCUAAUCCCCUCAAUUGUCACUUUCAUCCAUCACGUACAACCACCACCUCCAUCUCGUCGUCCACUCCAUCGAUGCCCCUCCGUCGCCGCCAAAUCCACAUUACCUCCUUCAUCUUCGCUGCCCAGUACUCCAUUUUCACCCACGGUGCCUUGUUCAGUUCGACGCUCACGCUUGUCUUCAUUGAAGAUCGGCGACCACCACCAAUCGGAAGUAUCUACCUCCACUGUAGACUCUUGCACCUAGUCAAGUUAACUCCUUUUCUGUCUCAUUCAUUUUCAACAAUUGAGGAAGUGUAAAUGUAAUUAUGCAGCAGUAAAUUAUUGAACAAAAAGCUUAUAGAACACCAUUGAUUUGGUUCUUACGACUCAUCCUACUUUAUCAAUCUGUAGAUCUUUGCUUCAGAAACAUGGAAGGUCUGCUUUUGAACUACUCUGCUUUUAAAACUUGUAAGGCCACAAUCAUGAUUUUGAUAUGCUUAUUAAGUUAGUUGUUUACUUUAUUAGGACUUAGGUUUUUCUUGAUUAUGCAUCCUAAUCCUAAUUCCCAAAGUUGAGUGGAUUGCGUAUGGAUUAUUCUGAUAUUUAUUCUUUAUGGACUGAUGGGGUUAGGAUUCUUGAAAAAUGAGAUUAAAAUUUGAUCUCCUUAGAAUGAUACAAUGAUACCUGGUGAAUUUGGGAUCUUCUAAACACUAUGUGUUUCUUUCAGUCGUUCAUUGUGUCCCUGUUAUCUUCCAACAUCAGCUAGUAGCCGAUCUAUCAUGCAAUCUAAUGAAAUCAUGAAAAAUGUUCUGCUGAUUGUACCCUUAAAAUGUUGUUGAGGCCUAUGUCUCAGCUACUUUUCAUAUUAGCUUACGACUUAUAACUGUUUGAGCUUGAUAAUAAUCAUUGGUCUGUACUUGAAAUCAUUCUAAUCGACACUACUGUCUAGUACAGGAUAGGAACUGGUGGUUGUAAAUUUAUAAGCAGUGCUGGAGAAACCGAGCUUGAGCUUCAAAGGUUUGUGUGUAUCAGUGAAGGUUACAAUGCAAAUUACACUGUUAAUAUUGAUUAAACAUUAAAUCAUAUAGAGCGAUUACUUGCCCUAUUGUUUCUAGUCUUUCUACUUAUAAACCUUGAUUUUUUGGGUAUAAAAAUGUUAUUUCUUUUCAAUAUGUAGCAUUAGUUUUGUUUCUUAUAAUUGUGUAAUCAAUGCUAAUCCUGAAACCAGUGUACUUGCAAAAAAUCACACUUUGGAGGAGCUUAAUAUUUGGAGCCAAUUUUUUUUUUUGUAUGGAAGUAUAGUUUAUACUUUCUUUCUUAGUGUUCUAUAUUCUCCUCCUUGAGUAAUGUCUGUUACAUUGGCUCAUACUCCUUGAGUAUAUGCAAAUAUACUUCUUCUGAUUGCAAUGAACUAAAUUUUGGACUUAUAAUGACUAGAUCUCAGAAAGAAGAAAGCACCUAUUAGCAGAAAUUGAAGAAGUUUGUGCUUUGUAGUGUGCUGGGCAGAGAAACAAAGGUGUUUUAAAUACUUCACUGUUGUCGUUGUUGGACGCUGUUGUUGCUCUGUGCUAGACACUACUACUUGCUUAUUGUUGUUUCUCUAAUCAUACUGUACUCUUUGUUUUUUUGAAAGACAAUUAUAGUGUACUCUAAUUGAUUUAUUACUUCAUUUUUUUGGGAUGAAAAGUGUAAAUUUACAAUUUAUUAAUACAAAUAUCUAAGUUUUAUGCAUA